UCUACGUUUACAUGCAAUCAUAUUAAUUGAGAUUGUUUAAAGGCAUUCGCUACAUGGCAAGAUACGCUCGAAUAAAUGAAGCGUAUCCAAAUGGAAAUUAGGAUCCCGGUCGAGUUAAUUGUUAAACACCGCAUGCAGGAUUGAUCCGAUUUAAUGUGUAUAAGCGGGAGUUAAUUUCAGCGCGCGGGUGGGGUGUCGGAACAAUGAAAAUUGGUUGAUGGUGUAUGGUGUCGUCUUGCAGUUAUCGAUAGCUGAGUGUGGUGGUGGUGUCCUACGGUGCGCCAGUUUUUCCCGGACAGAGUGGUGUAUACAUCACAGUAUAUACAGUAGAUAACCUUUUCAUGGUAGCUUUCUGAGGGGUGAAUAGCGGCCAUCUUGAAUUUUCAGA
rnacentral:lncRNA from 1 species